CUUCUUUGCUGGCGACCGGCGCACGGGUGAGUAACACGUAUCCAACCUGCCCUUUACUCGGGAUAGCCUUUCGAAAGAAAGAUUAAUACCCGAUAGCAUAAUGAUUCCGCAUGGUUUCAUUAUUAAAGGAUUCCGGUAAAGGAUGGGGAUGCGUUCCAUUAGGUUGUUGGUGAGGUAACGGCCCACCAAGCCUUCGAUGGAUAGGGGUUCUGAGAGGAAGGUCCCCCACAUUGGAACUGAGACACGGUCCAA
rnacentral:rRNA from 1 species